rnacentral:rRNA from 1 species
GGGGAAUCUUGCGCAAUGGGCGAAAGCCUGACGCAGCGACGCCGCGUGGGUGACGAAGGCCUUCGGGUUGUAAAGCCCUGUGGGGAGGAACGAACCGUCCGGGGGCCAAUACCCUCCGGGCCUGACGGUACCUCUUUAGCAAGCAUCGGCUAACUCUGUGCCAGCAGCCGCGGUAAGACAGAGGAUGCGAACGUUGCUCGGAAUUACUGGGCGUAAAGCGCGCGUAGGUGGCCUUGUAAGUCUCGUGUGAAAGCCCUCUGCUCAACGGAGGAAGUGCACGGGAUACUGCGAGGCUGGAGUACAGAAGAGGACAGCGGAAUUCCCGGUGUAGAGGUGAAAUUCGUAGAUAUCGGGAGGAACACCAGUGGCGAAGGCGGCUGUCUGGGCUGAUACUGACACUGAGGCGCGAAAGCGUGGGAAGCAAAC